rnacentral:rRNA from 1 species
UGGCCUGCCAUUGAUAAUUUAAAAGGCCGCGGUAAUAUGACCGUGCAAAGGUAGCAUAAUAAUUAGUCUUUUAAUUGAAGGCUUGUAUGAAUGGUUGGACAAAAGGAAUACUGUCUCUAUUAUAUUUAUUGAAAUUAACUUUUAAGUGAAAAGGCUUAAAUACUUCAGAGGGACGAUAAGACCCUAUAAAGCUUUAUAAAUAAUAUAAAUUUAAUUGAAUUUUAAAUAUAAUAAUUAAAAUUAUAUUACUUAUUUGGUUGGGGCGACAUAAGUAUAAUUAUUUUAACUGCUUUAUAAAUAUACACAGGAUAAGUGAAUAUUAUGUUAAAUGAUCCUUUAUUAUAAAGAUUUAAAGAUUAAGUUACUUUAGGGAUAACAGCGUUAUUUUCUUUGAGAGUUCAUAUCGAAAAGGAAGCUUGCGACCUCGAUGUUGAAUUAAAUUUUCUAUAUAAUGCAGCAGUUAUAUAAGAAGGUCUGUUCGACCUUUAAAUUUUUACAUGAUUUGAGUUCAAACCGGUGUAAACC